rnacentral:rRNA from 1 species
CGAUAACGAACGAGACCUCGACCUGCUAAAUAGUUCGACAAAGGUUCGCCUUUGAUUGUGACUUCUUAGAGGGACUAUCGGUGUGUAGCCGACGGAAGUUCGAGGCAAUAACAGGUCUGUGAUGCCCUUCGAUGUUCUGGGCCGCACGCGCGCUACACUGAUGCAUUCAUCGAGUUUACAACCUUGGCCGGUAGGUCUGGGUAAUCUUUGCAACAUGCAUCGUGCUGGGGAUAGAUCAUUGUAAUUAUUGAUCUUCAACGAGGAAUUCCUAGUAAACGCAAGUCAUCAACUUGCAUUGAUUACGUCCCUGCCCUUUGUACACACCGCCCGUCGCUACUACCGAUUGAAUGGCU